rnacentral:rRNA from 1 species
GACGAACGCUGGCGGCGUGCUUAACACAUGCAAGUCGAACGGAAAGGCCCUGCUUUUGUGGGGUGCUCGAGUGGCGAACGGGUGAGUAACACGUGAGUAACCUGCCCUUGACUUUGGGAUAACUUCAGGAAACUGGGGCUAAUACCGGAUAGGAGCUCCUGCUGCAUGGUGGGGGUUGGAAAGUUUCGGCGGUUGGGGAUGGACUCGCGGCUUAUCAGCUUGUUGGUGGGGUAGUGGCUUACCAAGGCUCUGACGGGUAGCCGGCCUGUGAGGGUGGACGGCCACAUUGGGACUACGAUACGGCCCAGAGUCCUACGGGAGGCAGCAGUGGGGAAUAUUGCCCAAUGGGCGGGAGCCUGAUGCAGCAACGCCGCGUGCGGGAUGACGGCCUUCGGGUUGAAAACCGCUUUCGCCUGUGACGAAGCGUGAGUGACGGUAAUGGGUAAAGAAGCACCGGCUAACUACGUG